UGGGGAAUAUUGGACAAUGGGGGCAACCCUGAUCCAGCCAUGCCGCGUGUGUGAAGAAGGCCUUCGGGUUGUAAAGCACUUUAAGCAGGGAGGAAGGCUCGUACGUUAAUAGCGUGCGGGAGUGACGUUACCUGCAGAAUAAGCACCGGCAAACUCCGUGCCAGCAGCCGCGGUAAUACGGAGGGUGCAAGCGUUAAUCGGAUUUACUGGGCGUAAAGCGCACGUAGGCGGUUUGUUAAGUCGGAUGUGAAAUCCCCGGGCUCAACCUGGGAGCGGCAUUCGAUACUGGCAAACUGGAGUACGAGAGAGGGGGGUGGAAUUCCAGGUGUAGCGGUGAAAUGCGUAGAUAUCUGGAGGAACACCGGUGGCGAAGGCGGCCCCCUGGCUCGAUACUGACGCU
rnacentral:rRNA from 1 species